CCGGCACUCUUAAGAUUGAGCUGUGAUGGGGAGAGGAACUUGUUCCUCGAGUCGUUGAUUUCACACUGCCGAGAAAAGCCUCUAGCUAGAAUAACGGUGCCCGUACCGCAAACCGACACAGGUAGUCAAGAUGAGAAUUCUAAGGUGAGCGAGCGAACUCUCGUUAAGGAACUCGGCAAAAUGACCCCGUAACUUCGGGAGAAGGGGUGCUCUUUGAGGUUCACGCUUCGAAGAGCCGCAGUGAAUAGGCCCAAGCGACUGUUUAUCAAAAACACAGGUCUCUGCUAAACCGUAAGGUGACGUAUAGGGGCUGACGCCUGCCCGGUGCUGGAAGGUUAAGAGGAGUGGUUAGCGCAAGCGAAGCUACGAAUCGAAGCCCCAGUAAACGGCGGCCGUAACUAUAACGGUCCUAAGGUAGCGAAAUUCCUUGUCGGGUAAGUUCCGACCCGCACGAAAGGCGUAACGAUUUGGGCACUGUCUCAACGAGAGACUCGGUGAAAUCAUAGUACCGGUGAAGAUGCCGGUUACCCGCGACAGGACGGAAAGACCCCGUGGAGCUUUACUGUAGCCUGAUAUUGAAAUUCGGUACAGUUUGUACAGGAUAGGUAGGAGCCUUAGAAGCGUGAGCGCUAGCUUACGUGGAGGCAUUGGUGGGAUACUACCCUAAUUGUAUUGGAUUUCUAACCCGCAGCACUUAUCGUGCUGGGAGACAGUGUCAGGCGGGCAGUUUGACUGGGGCGGUCGCCUCCUAAAGAGUAACGGAGGCGCUCAAAGGUUCCCUCAGAAUGGUUGGAAAUCAUUCAUAGAGUGUAAAGGCAUAAGGGAGCUUGACUGCGAGACCUACAAGUCGAGCAGGGUCGAAAGACGGACUUAGUGAUCCGGUGGUUCCGCAUGGAAGGGCCAUCGCUCAACGGAUAAAAGCUACCCCGGGGAUAACAGGCUUAUCUCCCCCAAGAGUUCACAUCGACGGGGAGGUUUGGCACCUCGAUGUCGGCUCAUCGCAUCCUGGGGCUGUAGUCGGUCCCAAGGGUUGGGCUGUUCGCCCAUUAAAGCGGUACGCGAGCUGGGUUCAGAACGUCGUGAGACAGUUCGGUCCCUAUCCGUCGUGGGCGUAGGAAAUUUGAGAGGAGCUGUCCUUAGUACGAGAGGACCGGGAUGGACAUACCUCUGGUGUACCAGUUGUCGUGCCAACGGCAUAGCUGGGUAGCUAUGUAUGGACGGGAUAAGUGCUGAAAGCA
rnacentral:rRNA from 1 species